rnacentral:rRNA from 1 species
ACGUGCGGCGGCGGUAGUAACACGUGGGUAACCUACCUAUAAGACUGGGAUAACUUCGGGAAACCGGAGCUAAUACCGGAUAAUAUUUCGAACCGCAUGGUUCGAUAGUGAAAGGUGGUUUUGCUAUCACUUAUAGAUGGACCCGCGCCGUAUUAGCUAGUUGGUAAGGUAACGGCUUACCAAGGCGACGAUACGUAGCCGACCUGAGAGGGUGAUCGGCCACACUGGAACUGAGACACGGUCCAGACUCCUACGGGAGGCAGCAGUC